AUUUGUAUUUCUAGCAAGUUCUCCAGCAAUGCUGACCCUCCUGGGGUAGGAACCAUUUUGAGAACUGCUGCCUUCAACGUAGAGAAAUGAACUGGAAGGAGCCUCAAUCCCGAAUGGCAGGACCACAGAGUCACCCACUGGCCUGGGAACACGAAUUCUGAAAUGGCAGUAAACACACAUAAAGGCAAGAUUUAAAACCAUUUUAACAGAAUGCUUGGAAUGAGGAAAAGCAGUACCGGUGAUCCAAAUGGAUUCCCAUUACCGAAGGCACCAGAGAAAAGCUACAAUUCUCAUCUUACCUGUUGCAUUUAGAAGGUCAAGCAGAAAUGACCGCUUGUCUGCAUCUUCCACCCACACUACUUUCUGUGUGAUGUUCUCAGAGGUAGAGCCAACUCUUCCUACAGCCAAGAAGAUAUAUUCAUCCAAGAAAUCACGAGCAAGCAUCUGAAAGAAAAAAACUUUCAUUACCUACUGAGACAAAUAAAUUCCUCAUUUAAUAAAGUGUGUAGCAUCAAACAAUACCUGUAUUUCCUUGGGGAAAGUAGCACUAAACAUCAUAGUGUGGCGCACGCCCUUUGGUGGCAUCGUAUCUUGUUCAACUAUUCUACGAAUCUGAGGUUCAAACCCCAUAUCCAACAUCCGAUCAGCUUCAUCCAACACCAAGUA